UACGAAGGGGGGCUAGCGUUGCUCGGAAUGACUGGGCGUAAAGGGCGCGUAGGCGGUUUGUACAGUCAGAUGUGAAAUUCCUGGGCUUAACCUGGGGGGCUGCAUUUGAUACGUGCAGACUUGAGUGAGGAAGAGGGUUGUGGAAUUCCCAGUGUAGAGGUGAAAUUCGUAGAUAUUGGGAAGAACACCGGUGGCGAAGGCGGCAACCUGGUCCUUGACUGACGCUGAGGCGCGAAAGCGUGGGGAGCAAACAGG
rnacentral:rRNA from 1 species